GCCUUCCUUCUUAAUUUUUACGGCCAUUCGAAGUGAGAAGCUGAGAGUGAAUGUUCUGUGAAACUUGCAGUAGCAGGGGAUUUUCUGUAGCCAGCAGAUCAUCUAAAUCAACCUCACCUUCGCCAGAGUCGAUUUUUGCAGAGGUUUAUGAUUGUUAAUUUGCUGUUUAUUGAAUUAUUUGCUGGGCAUUGAUGUAAGGAUUGCAAGAGACAGAGAUGGGUUUUGUUAAUUUUGCUUUUUGUUGAAUUCCUUGCUCUGUUGGUUAAUUUGCUAAUGCGCCCUCUCUCCUUGUGUUUGUUUAAUUUGCUGUAGACCUUGAAUGAUUGAUUUCUCAGAAAUGGGUUCAUAGUUGCUAGCUUGCUGGUAGGGUUGGGAAUUUGCUAGGUAUUGAUUUUGUUGAAUUGUUUUUGUUUAUGAUUGAAUUAUUUGCUAGGUAUUCAUGUGGCUUGGGUUUCUUUAUUGCUGCGCUUGUUGAGGAAACCAAAUCGAACUGCAAAUUUUGAUUCGGUUUUAUUCGAUUUUCUCUGUACUUUUUCCACCGUAAACGAAACCUACAAAUAAAAAUCCUCGAGAUUUCUUUGUCAAACACAAAACGUCUAAAUCUCAAGUCCCAAAUCCAUAUCAUUUAGGGGAAAAAAAAACCCAAAAAAUCUCCACAAAAUCAAUGAGAUUGUCCACAAUUUGCAUAUUAAAAAGUACUCCAUUUGUUGUCGUCGAUUUCAUUGUUUGCAAGUGAGGGCUUCUCUAUCAUUUGCAUGUGAAAUUGUUUCCAAUCUCAUAAAAGCCAAUGCGAAAUCUACCAUUCACACUGUGCAUCAUUCUUCUCUUGCUAAGUUCUAUAGCCGUUGGUAUCUCUCUUUCCAGCUUCUGCUACUUGCAAUUAGGUUUUUUUUAAUCCAUUGCGCAUUAAUGUGUUUCAAAUCAGCUAAAAAAUUUGAUUUGAUGGGAAAGUAAUUGUGACAUUUUAUUUAUUUUUAAUUAUCUGUAUAAUUUUCUGAGUCCAUAGUAGUAGACUGUUGAUGAUCAGGCGAUAAGAUCCCAAAAUCCAGCAUAGGGCACUCUCCAUUGGUUUUUAACUUCUAGAUUUUUUAAAUUCAGUUUAAGCUUUAGAUU
rnacentral:misc_RNA from 1 species